AGAAAACAUUAAGCACAGGGCUAGAGUAUCUUUGAGCCUGUUCACAACACAAAGAUUCCAAGAUUUAGUAUUUCAGAAGAGCUUCCGGCAGCUUGAAUUAUUUUUCAGCAGUGAGUUUUCACUGAAUCAACUACUUCUUUCUCCUUUAAAUGGUGAUAAUCAUUUAUAGGCUGGUAUUAAGAAUGUCAUCACUGAGAACUCUUUCCUGUGACUCAUUGGCACUGAGCUCCUGAACUGAAUUAAUUUGCCCAGAAAGUACCUUCAAAUACCACUUAUCCAGAAUGCAAAUAACCAGAGAGCUCAAAGAACCAGAUUUAUUUUCUGCACUCAGCUUUUCUAGAAGGAAGAGGAAAACAACAAUAUUAUGACUACAGCAACUACUACUAUUACCAGUAAUAAUAAUACUGGCUGCUAUGCAUUGAUGAGAACAUUGAAGCACACUGGGGACCUGCCUAAAGUCACACACGGUGGAGAACAUUUUGGAUAUGCUGAAGAAGGGAGAACACAUGGGAACAAGAAAGAACCACAUCUCAUUUGAUCCACACAUUAGAAAAGCAAGUUUGUCCAACCAUAGGAACCUAAAGGCAGUUUGUAUUUACCUCCUAGGUUCUAAGAAAUCCAUUUUCUCUGACCAGAGACACAGACAUUGAGCCUCAGAUGCAACACAUAUUUAAUACUUACUAAACCCCAAACCUAUGUCCACAGAACUUGAAAAGUAAUAGAAUACAUGUCCAUGGUCCACAUGAGUUUUUUCUCUUUUCCGUCUUUUCACUUACUGUCUUAAAGCUAUUUACUACUCUGUCAAAUUACAAUUAAGAAAAAGGCAGCUCUCCCUCCUGGGGCUACGUCGCUGACCGUCACUGACUCUGAGCCAGGCUUAGCAGUAAAUACGCUGGUAGACGUUUGGCAAAAAAUCCUCUUAUUGUAAAAUAUUUCCUCUUUCUCACCAACUUGUGUUUCCCCUUAUUUUACAAAAUGUGGAAUUAAUUUCAGACUAAAUUCAAGAGCUGGGGUCAAGACAUAAAUUGGGAAAACCAAGAGUCAGCACGAAAAGAUUAACUUGAAAAGUGGUGGGAAAUCUAUAAUUCAGGUCACAAGGAAAAGGACCCUCUUGCUUUUCUACUCUGCUGAUGAAGAGAAAACAGAAGGUGUCCCCUCAGUUUCCUGCUGUAUUCAGGUGAAAGAAGCCCAGCUCAAACCAAAUUAAGCAAAAAAAGAGAAUUUACAAGCCCAGGAGUUG
rnacentral:lncRNA from 1 species